GGUCCAAUUGCGGAGUGGCCCGCGCCUGCGUACGUUAAUUUCGUAGUGAGCACUGGUUGCAUGCAGGAGGACGCCCGUUCGACUCGGGCUUGGACCG